AAAGGCUGCGGUAUUUUGACCGUACAAAGGUAGCAUAAUCAUUAGUUUUUUAAUUGAAAACUCGUAUGAAUGGUUCUACGAAAUAUUGACUGUUUCACAAAAAAUAAAAUAGAAAUUAAUUUUUUAGUUAAAAAGCUAAAAUAAAUUUAAAAGACGAGAAGACCCUAUAGAGUUUUAUAUUAAAUAUUUUAUAAUUUAUAUAAAAAAAUUAAAAUUUUAUUAAAUUUUAUAUUUUGUUGGGGUGACAGUAAAAUUUUUUAACCUUUUAUUAUUUUUAAAACAAUGAUUUUUGAAUAAUUGAUCCAUUUUUAGUGAUUAAAAGAUUAAAUUACCUUAGGGAUAACAGCG
rnacentral:rRNA from 1 species